UCGAUCCCCUCGAUCUUCCUGACGCAGCCGUGCCACUGCGAGAUUGCAAAUCAGUCUGGAGAGGACCUUGCGUGAGCUCGCUCCCAUGUCGCUCUCCUCCUAGGGCGACACCGGGGCGCCCCCCAACCCUAGCCGCCACAGACCCCCACCACAACCAAGCCGCCGUCGCCGGCAGCUGUCGCCGGCGGCGGCGAAGGCGGCUCCUCAAAGCAGGGACGCGUCUCCCGUCGAAAUCCAAGUCCAUUCGCGCGAGCUUCUCCGCCCCUCGAUCCAAUCUUCACCUUCGCUCAUGGUGGCCGUCAGCUGGCUUCCCACCGGCGGCCAGCUUGAUCUGCGCGGCACUCGGCUGCUCGCGUGGCCCACCUCCUCCCCAUCGUGGCACUCUGCGCGGCACUCGAUGGCCGCCGUUGGGCCUGCUUGCGGCGCACAGAUCAUAUCGCGUGCGAUGGCUACAUCAUCGCCGGACCUGUCCUUUCGUCCGACCGCGACCCAACCCCAGCGCCCUCCUCCACCGCCCGCUUCCCCCACUCCCGCUUGACUCCACGGGGGGCGCCGAUGGCGAUGCUCUGCCCGGAGUUCCGCGGAUCUGCGUAUGCCAGCCGCGUUUGGCCCUCCGUCCGCUGUGCUCUGCCGGCCCUGGCCCACGCCGUGGUUGCCCUUGGCUCGUCACCAGGCUCCUGUGUGGCUUGCUCUCGCACGUCCAGAUGCACCAUCGCCGGGUUCCCUGUUGCCCCUCAGAUAUGAUAAAUGCAUCCACCCAUCGCAUCCAUUGGCUUGGGUACCUGAUGGAUUUGGUGUGGUGUCUGACCUUCUGCUGCUCUGUCUCCGAGAGAGAUCCCUUCGCUAGCUCCUUGCUAGCGGCAGCAACGGCGACGCUUUUGGCGCCGCUUCCCUUCUUGGAGGCGCUGCUGUGGAGCCCCAGUGCAGCAGUGGAUUUGGCCGAAAGCCCUACGAUGAUGGCGCCCGUGGGUGUCAUUCAACCUUCCUGAAGGCGUCGCCGCCACCUGCGCUAAACCCCAGGGCAGGGCAGUUUCAACCCAAGGCAGGCUGCGACGAGCGGCGCAAGAAGACCAUGCCAGCGGUACACAGAGAUGUUGGUUCCGUUGUUUGCACAUGUAUCCUGAUGCCCGCUUUCUCGCCGUGGCUGUCAAGUACCACCUCGUGAAGGAGUGGAGAAGACAACGUCCUCUGGUCCUCCUCCAGGCCGGCCGACAACUUGUCAGUUUGUUGCUCUUCCCUUACAAGCUUUGGACAAAAACAUUUAUGCUCAACACAGCUGGUUCCCCCAAGUUCAGCAGUGACCGUAUGAUACACAGUACGCAAAAGAUAUAUGGGAUAUCAUCCCCGUCAUCAUGCUCUGAAUAAUUUAACAGUUUACAGAAACCUUGAGUCUGUGAGGCGCAAUCGGUCACAGAUUUGCCUCUACUCUUCAUUGGGAAGGUGUUGCUGCCCCCAGCUUUGUAUAGGAACAUGCAAGUUCUGACAUGGACAUGAGAGCUGAGAGCAUGCAGGGUGAUACGUAUGAAGGAAAAGAGCCAGAGCAGCGCUUGGAUAAAAGUCAGUGUUGGAAUUUGUUUGGCAGAUGCGGAAAUCUUGGUAAAGGAUAAGGACGCACACGGCGGCGAGGUUAGUAGGGGCGUAACAAACAAGAAGGGCGGGCGUGGCAAUGGCCAUUCAUGUGUCAGAUGAAAAUAGUACACCCACAUGUGUGUCUGGACUUGACAUAUGCAUCAGCGAGCAUGGUGAUGAGGUGAGAGUUGGAAGCGUGGAUGUACUUGACAAGGACCAAGUAGAUGCGAGCAAGCAUGGUGGGCAAUGUCGACGAUGGUCACGUCGAUGAGAAGACCGAAGAGGAAGGCUUAAAUGUAAUUAGCCAGUGUCUUUGGACAGGUUGUCGACAGAUAAAAGUUCUAUAGUUUGGCUUGAGGAGUAACAUAGACAGGCAUGCUGGUGCUAUAAGGCUAUAUCUCUCUUCGUGGACAAGAGCACAUAAUGCUUCAAGUUUCAUGGAAGUUUUUUAAAUUCUAUUAUGAGGCUCAAUCUGAAAUAAAAUCGGGUCUUGCUUUACCCAA